rnacentral:SRP_RNA from 1 species
GCCGGGCGCGGUGGCUCACGCCUGUAAUCCCAGCACUUUGGGAGGCUGAGGCGGGUGGAUCACCUGAGGCCAGGAGUUCGAGACCAGCCUGGCCAACAUGGUGAAACCCCGUCUCUA